GAUGAACGCUGGCGGCGUGCUUAACACAUUCAAGUCGAACGGUGAAGCAGGAGCUUGCUCUUGUGGAUCAGUGGCGAACGGGUGAGUAACACGUGAGCAACCUGCCCCUGACUCUGGGAUAAGCGCUGGAAACGGCGUCUAAUACUGGAUAUGUGAUGUGACCGCAUGGUCUGCAUCUGGAAAGAAUUUCGGUUGGGGAUGGGCUCGCGGCCUAUCAGCUUGUUGGUGAGGUAAUGGCUCACCAAGGCGUCGACGGGUAGCCGGCCUGAGAGGGUGCCCGGCCACACUGGGAAUGGGACCCGGCGCAGACUCCUCCGGGAGGCAGGAGUGGGUGAUAUUGCAAAAUGGGCGGAGGCCUGAUGCAGCAACGCCGCGUGAGGGAUGACGGCCUUCGGGUUGUAAACCUCUUUUCGCCGGGAAGAAGCGAAAGUGACGGUACCUGCAGAAAAAGCACCGGCUAACUACGUGCCAGCCGCCGCCGUAA
rnacentral:rRNA from 1 species